GAUGAAGAACGUAGCGAAAUGCGAUAAGUAAUGUGAAUUGCAGAAUUCAGUGAAUCAUCGAAUCUUUGAACGCACAUUGCGCCCUUUGGUAUUCCGAGGGGCAUGCCUGUUCGAGCGUCAUUACACCACUCAAGCUAUGCUUGGUAUUGGGCGUCGUCCUUAGUUGGGCGCGCCUUAAAGACCUCGGCGAGGCCACUCCGGCUUUAGGCGUAGUAGAAUUUAUUCGAACGUCUGUCAAAGGAGAGGAACUCUGCCGACUGAAACCUUUAUUUUUCUAGGUUGACCUCGGAUCAGGUAGGGAUACCCGCUGAACUUAAGCAUAUCAAUAAGCGGAGGA
rnacentral:misc_RNA from 1 species